UACGAGGGGUGCAAGCGUUGCUCGGAAUUAUUGGGCGUAAAGGGUAGGUAGGUGGUCUCAUUUGUCAGGGGUGAAAGCCUUGGGCUUAACUCAAGAAGUGCCCCUGAAACGGUGAGACUGGAGUCCUGGAGAGGGUCGUGGAAUUCCCGGAGUAGCGGUGAAAUGCGUAGAGAUCGGGAGGAACACCAGAGGCGAAGGCGGCGACCUGGACAGGUACUGACACUCAACUACGAAAGCGUGGGGAGCAAACAGG
rnacentral:rRNA from 1 species